rnacentral:rRNA from 1 species
UACGAAGGGGGCUAGCGUUGCUCGGAAUUACUGGGCGUAAAGCGCGCGUAGGCGGGUCGUUAAGUCGGGGGUGAAAUCCUGGAGCUCAACUCCAGAACUGCCUUUGAUACUGGGGAUCUUGAGUCCGGGAAAGGUGAGUGGAACUCCGAGUGUAGAGGUGAAAUUCGUAGAUAUUCGGAAGAACACCAGUGGCGAAGGCGGCUCACUGGCCCGGUACUGACGCUGAGGUGCGAAAGCGUGGGGAGCAAACAGG